rnacentral:hammerhead_ribozyme from 1 species
GUACUGGUGGAGAGUCCCAAACUAGGACGAAACAGCUGUCCAGUAC